GAAGUUUUGUGGCCUUGAGGAAGAUGAAGUCAGCAAUGAGAUGAACCUACAGAAACCUUUCUCCUCAAGUGAUAGCAGAAAAGAGAGGAAGAUACCUGGAAGAUAUACCUAAGAAAUACUUGGGAAGUAUAUGGAAAUGGGUACUUUUUCUCCUCUUUGAACAAUCAAUUCAUUCAAAACUCCAGUGUUAUCCUGAGCUACUAGGAGAAGCGUUAAAAAUAAACCUGAUUUGAUCUUAAAAAACAAGCAAAUAAAAACAGACAAUGGGACACUUUUUCUUAAUAAUAAUUGAGACUUACCCUAUGGAAAAUGUAGAUUUUAAUACAUUAAAUUUGUUAGCAGGUAUAGUUGAUUAGAUAGAUCAACAGAUAGAUAAAGAUAAAUAUUUUUUAUGCACCAUAAAUGCACGCAAACAUAUACACAUGCAUAUUUGGGAUAUCACAGCAAUAGUAUGCAUCUUAGUCUAGUUUGGGCUGCUAUAACAAAAUAUGUGGGACAGGGUAAUUUAUGAAGAACAGAAAUUUAUUUCUCAUAGUUCUGGAGGCUGGGCAGUUUAGAAUCAAGGCUCCAGCAUUUGUUGUCUGGUGAGGGCUGCUGUCUGCUUCUAAGAUGGUGCUUUGUUGCUGUGUCCUAACAUGGCCAAAGGCAGAAAAGCAAAAAGGGCCUAGCUAGUUCCCUCCAGCCCUUAUAUAAGGCCUCUCAUGCCAUUAAUGAGGGUUCUGCUCUCAUGACAUAAUCACCUCUUAAAAGCCCUGUCUCUUAAUACUGUUACCUUGAGGAUUAAGUUUUAACAUGAAUUUUGGGAGCACAUUCAACCAUAGCAGUGUGAGAGGGAAGGUUAAAUGUCUUAGUUAAUGUUGAUUUCUGUAACAAAUAAAAUCUUUAAAAUAAUAAUAAGUGUUCAUUUAGUAUCACUUAAAUUCAAAAAGCGUGUUUCUAUCUUCAAAUCAG
rnacentral:lncRNA from 1 species